CUGACUCAUGUGUGGUGUCUGCUGAGUGGAUUGAAGCUCCUUUGCUGGUCCAUGUGUGAUGCUUUCUGAGUGUACUGGUCUGCAGCUGCUGAUUCAUAUUUGAUGUUUGCUAGUGAACUGGACUGAGAAGAGUGAUGAUGGUGAUGCUCCAGUAAAACAACGUAUGGCUUGAACAUUGGGAUGUGAAAAAGCACCACAAUAUGUCAUGUCAUGAUUAUUUUUUGAAGAGGUUGAAUCUGUUGAGGAACUUUCCUCAGAAUUUUUGGAAAGACUAUUUAGCUACCUUUGGAAGAAAUUAAACUUCAACCAUAGCCUUAUAAUAUGUGAAACAUUAAUGGUA